GACAGGCUCUGCGCUGGGCCUGCUUGAGGGUGGCGGGCUUGAGGCGGGCAGGCUGCUUAGUUGCGGCCCGAGGCGCCUAAGUGGGGAUGACCAACCCGUGGGCGUUGGCGCUGACCCCUAGGCGCCGCUGGUGGCCCCGCGCGCGGCCCUCCGGCCAGCCCCGCCCCUCUCGGGGCUCCUCCUUGGUCCCCGCGCCAUGGCGCGUCCGCGUUGACCGCUGUCUUCCCUUUCGGGCUGUGCUGAUCGCGAACGCUGCGCAGUCCGUGGUGGCGUCGAGGCACCUUUCUCGUGCCUUUACCUGUGUUCACUCCUUUGCUUUAAAAAACAGCCCUAGAAGUACACAUCGUUGGCCCCGAAGGAGCCCCAGCAGCCAUGUCGGACCGCGAGUGUCUGAGGCCUCAGCUGGAGCAGUUCAGAGGCUAGAGGUUGGAAUGAGUGAAGGUUCAUCUGCUCGAAUGUCUGACAGCUGAUACUGGAGAUUGGCUGCAGCCCAGAUUGGGGAUGUCAGCCAGCACACCCCUACACGGCCGGUCCCUGUGGCCGAGGCUUUCUCACAAUAUGAUGGCUGGAUUCCAAGGGCAAUCUAAAGACAAAGGACAAAAGAAAGCUGUAUCCUUUUUGUGAACCAGCCUCAGAAGUUGCAUACCAUCACUUCGGCUACUUCCUAUUUGGAAGAAAUGAGUCACUAAAUUACCCAUAUUCAAAAGGAGAGGAAUUAGGCUUCAUCUUCUAAAGGGAAGAAUAUCAAAAAAUUUGCCAGUAUAUUUUUAAAACACCACACUUGGAAAAAGCCAUGGGCCAUGGUAAGCAAAAUUGAAAUGGCAAAAUUGCUAUGGCAGACAGUGGUGGAAGGGAGUAAAAGGUUCAGGGGUGUGGGCAUGUUGAAAUUUAUAUACUCCGUGCAUCUAGAAGACAUUUGAGACGAUCAUAUUCCACAUGAAGGUGUAAAUAACACGUCAUUUAUAAAGAUCAUUAGACAUAGGAUGAUGAAAGGGGCACUGAUGUCACUAAAAUAUUCAGUGAUGGCUCAUCUCUGUAGGCAAGAAUGACAAUAGAAAGGCUGUUCCAGAACUUGGCUGGGUGAUAGCACUGGGGAUGAUAGGAUCCUAAGACAAAAGAGGCCAUUCUGGGACAUAGUGGGGACCAAAGAAAAAAACCCAAGAAGCCAAAGGCAACACUUAGCUGGCAGAAGUCAGAGGAUUGCAAUUAUAGCAGCCAGCAGGGUCUGAGUGGCAGCCAAGGGGACCUCACUUGUAUGGUUAUAGAACUGGUCAAUAAACAUGGCAUCCCUGGAGGCAAAACAGGUGGGCAGCUAAGAAGGGUACUACUCAGCUGGCAAAAAAAAAAAAAAAAAAAAAAAUCCAUCCAGGCACGGUGGCCUGUGCCUGUAAUCUCAGCAUUUGGGGAAGCUAAGGUGGGAGGAUCACUUGAGCCCAGGAGUUCAAGAUUACAGUGAGCUGUGGUUGCACCACUGCACUCCAGCCCGGGCAAUGUGGCAAGACUGUCUCAAUUGAAAAAAAUAAAUAAAGAUGCUUGUCCCAGUUUUAAAAAAUCAGGAUUCCAUGCCCAGCUUCUGGAACUGAGCCAGUUUUCAGAAAUGGAAACAUUACUUGAGAGGUGGCCAAACACCAGGAAGAAGGACCUAUAACAGUACAAGUACAACAGAAAUGAAUCCCCAGGUACUUUUCCAAAGGGUCUGAUAGCAAUUUCUUUUGAUAACUACAUCCUGGAGAAAAGUGAUUAGCCAAACAUUUGGAAGACUUGUGGACACAGGGUCUAAAUUGAUGUCCAGAUGCCUAGAAUAUCAUCCCCUUCUGUUAGAGUGGCUGCAUGUGGUGGCCAGGUAAUUGAUGGAGUUCUGCUAAAGGUCCAGCUUACAGUGGACCCGUAGACCUAGUGGACUGAUCUAGUGAUAUUUUCUUAGCCUUCGAGUGAGUAAUUGGCAUUGACAUACUUGGCAGUGAAUGCUCAUUCCAGGUCCCUGACCUAUAGAGUUAGAUAACAAAAUGGAAAAAGCCAAACAGAAACCUGAAACUGCCCCAUCCCCUACCAAGAUUAUAAAACAAUUAUCCCAGAGCGGGAAUGGCAGAGAUAAGUGCCACUUCUAAGGAUCCAAGUGAUGUAAAGUGGUGGUUACCAACAUUUUUAAUUUACCAGCAUGACCCCUGCAGAAGUCACAAGGAUCCUGGAGAAUGGCAGCCUACUCUAUUUGCUGUCAACCAGUAGUUGUUUUGGGUACACUGCUGCAAACUCAUCUAAGAAGUAUCCCUGGCCGGGCACAGUGGCUCACGCCUGUAAUCCCAGCACUUUGGGAGGAUAAGGUGGGCGGAACACGAGGUCAGGAGUUCAGUCUGGCCAACAUAGUGAAACCCUGUCUCUACUAAAAAUACAAAAAAUUAGCUGGGUGUGGUGGUGUGCACCUGUAAUCCCAGCUACUUGGGAGGCUGAGGCAGGAGAAUCCCAUGAACCUGGGAGGUGGAGGUUGCAGUGAGCCGAGAUCAUGCCAUUGCACUCCAGCCCAGGUGACAGUGUGAGACUCUAUCUCAAAAAAAAAAAAAAAAAGUAUCCGUAAUAGCCUCUCUGCCAGAUAUGGUAGGUAGUUGUUGACUAGGUGGAUUUGUUCUUUUCUGUACCUAUCAGGGAUCAAAAACAUUUUGCAUUUGCAUGGAAUUAAAAUGCAGUUUUGCCGGAAGGUUAUGUUACUUCUCUUGCUCUCUGUCGUAAUCCAAAGAGAUCUGGACCACCUAGACAUCCUGUAGAAUAUUACAUUGUUCCUUUACAUCAGUGACAUGUUGAUCAGCCAGAUGAGAAGUGCAGAAGAUCCUGGAGACAGCUGCUCCAGAGAGUGGCAUAUAAACCCUACAGGAAUCCAGGAGCCUGCUACAAUCCUAACAUUUUUAGGGCUCCAGUGGUCAGGGGUGCUCUAGGGCAUCCCUUCCAAAAGCGAAUGAAUUAUUGCUGCUUGCACCUCCUGCCGUUAAGAAAGCAAGACGCUUGUUGGUUCUCGAGCUAGUUCUUGCCUCAGGUUCUGGAGGCAGCAUGUCCCACACCUGGGAGUAUUGCUCUGGUCCAGAGACUAGUGGAAUUGGGAGAUUUCCAAUUUUGGAAAGAGCCCAGAACUGGAAACGUCUGUACAGUAGAUCCGGGUUGUGAUGAAGUAAUGCUAUUGCCUGGGCCAUAUAGUCCAACAGGUGUUUUUUUGGUGUUAUUAAUGGUGCAGAAUGAUGCAAUGUAGAGAUUCUGUCAUGCCACCUGGAGCAGAGAAUUGUAUGCAUUUGGGGGGCGGGCGGGUGUAGAUCUGUCUUCUGGUAUGCCACUUGUCUCUGACAGAGAUGGAACGCCUGACCGUAAGCCACCAGGUGACCAUGCAACCAGAACUGCCUGUUAAUGUUAAACUAGCAAAAGUCAUAACAUCAGUUGGGGCCAGCAACGGUCCCUCAUAAUAUGGAAGUAGUAUAUUCAAGGUUGAGCAUGAGAAUGUACAGAGGUUACCAAAUGAGCUGCAGAGCACAGAUGCACAUGACUUCCAGAACUGUUGGAUCAGCCACAAUGUCAUUUCACACCUGUGACAGUGUGAGGGGGCCCUUAUAGCCAGUUGACAGGAGUAAAAAUCGUGAGCAUGGUGUAUAAAUGGGUUGGCUCAGUAUGAGUUCAAAAUGAAAAUAGCAGCUACAUUACAGCCUUCUCAGGGGUGACCUUGAAAAAUGGUGAUAAGGGCAUAUCCUCUCAAUAGGCAGAAUUUCAGGCAGAGCUCCUGGUCGUCCACUUUUUUGUGGAAGAAGUAGCCCAAGGUGAGAAUAUACAUGGAGCCAUGGGCAAUGCUAGAGGGCCUGGGUAACUGGUUAAGGGCCUGGAAGGAAAACAAUCGGAAGUUGGAGAUAAGGAGGUGUGUGGUAGAUUUAUGUGGUCAGAUAAAUUGGAAUAGCACGAAGUACAAUGUUCUUUGUAUACAAUGUUAAUGCCCACCAGAGAGCAUCCAUGAAAGAAGCAUUAUACAACCAAGUAGACAGUUGACUCAGCCAGUUGAUAUUGGACAGCAUCUUUUAUUGGCUACUGUACUACUGGCAUGAUGGGCACAUGGACAAGGUAGCCAAGGUGAUGGACGCUGUUCAUGGGCCUGACAGCAACCCAUGCUCUCUACCCAGCUUUGGUUAAUAUCUAGCUGCCCCUGAAUAUCUAACCUGCCAGCAAAAGAGAUCUACCCGGCUUUGGUUAAUAUCUAGCUGCCCCUAAAUAUCUAACCUGCCAGCAAAAGAGACCAGUGCUAUACUCCCAUUGUGGGUCACUUCAUCAAGGAGCACAAACAUCCAGGUUUACAGAGGUCUUUAGACAUAGUCCCCAUUUUAUAAGGAGAGUUUACUGUAUUGGAACUCUCCCAUCCUGGAAGGGCUGGUGGUUCACUUUUCACAAGAAUAGUCUCAUAUUCCAGAUACGAGGCUUGUCUUUUCCUACUCACAAGUGUCAGCCAGAAAGGCUUAAGGAGUGUUUGUUUCACUGACAUAAGCACACAACAUUUCAAACGAGAUUCACUUUAUAGCCAAGGAAGUGUAGUGUCCAUGGGCCCUCCUGCCUGGCAGAGCGCUGAGACAGCAUGCUAAAGGCACAGCCUCCCAAAGGCAUGAGCCACUGAGCCCGGCACUGAAGACUUCCUUGAAACCGUUCUUUGCAAUCUUUCUGUUAUUGACCAGCUGGACAGUGCGUAACUGCAUGGGAAUGCUUGCAGAUCAGUAAAUUCAGACACCUUCCUUUCCACAUAAGAUGGACCACCAGCUGUACCCUCCCAAGUUUUGCCAGCUGGAAAUCUUCAAAAAUCCAACCCUAAACUAGGUUGUAGUGUAGCAACCAUCUUUUUGUUUGUUUUUUGAGACGGAGUCUCACUCGGUCUUCCAGGCUGGAGUGCAGUGGCGCGAUCUCAGCUCACUGCAACCUCUGCCUCCCGGGUUCAAGCGAUUCCCCUGCCUCCGCCUCCCGAGUAGCUGGGACUACAGGCACACGCCACCAUGCCCGGCUAAUUUUGUGUCUUUUAGUAGAGAUGGGAUUUCACCACGGUGGUCAGGAUAGUCUCAAUCUCCUGACCUCAUGAUCCGCCUGCCUUAGCCUCCCAAAGUGCUGGGAUUUCAGGUGUGAGUCACUAGUGUAGCAACUAUUUAUGGUUCAUGCCACCAUACCGUAUGGAUCCGUUGGUAGAACAAACCUGUAUUUUUUCGUCUUCUGUCAACUGGUCCUAGGGAGCGUCCCGUGAAACCACAGAUGUAGACUGAGGGGUGUGAAGUAGAAGAGGCGGCAGCAUGUGUUUGGUCACUCACUUGGGUCACAUACUUAUGCCUUCUGAAUCUGUUCAGGCAUAGUUUUGUGUAUAUUAUUUCCAGUUUCAGUGGAAUGCUGUUUAUGUCCAGUUUAAUGAUUUGUGUAUAGGCUGUCCUCCUAUGGUAUGCCUCAUGCUUCUGUGGGCUGUAUUGGGAUCAGAGUCUUGGGGGUCUGCAAGCAAGGUGGUAUUGUUGGGUUUUGAGAAUCAGCAUCUCUCUGUGAGGCACUGUAUUUGUUCUCACACUGCUAUAAAGAAAUGCCUGAGGCCAGGUGUGGUGGCUGAGGCCUGUAAUCCCAGCACUUUGGGAGGCCAAAGCCGGUGGAUCACCUGAGGUCAGGAGUUCGAGACCAGCCUGACCAAUAUGGUGAAACUCUGUCUCUACUAAAAGUACAAAAAUUAGUCGGGCCUGGUGGCGUGCACCUGUAGUCUCAGCUACUCAGGAGGCUGAGACAGGAUAAUUGCUUGAACCCGGGAGGCGGAGGUUGCAGUGAGCCAAGAUUGUGCCAUUUAAGCCUGGGUGACAGAGCAAGUCUCCAUCUAAAAAAAAAAAAUGCCUGAGACUGGAUAAUUUAUAAAGAAAAGAGGUAUAUUUGGCUCACGGUUCUGCAGGCUGUACAGUAAGCAUAGUGGCUUUUCCUUUGGGGAGGCCUCAGGAAGCUUCCAAUCAUGGCAGAAGACAAAGGGGGAGCAAGGCACUUCACAUGGCUGUAUUAGGAGGCAGAGAGAGGAUGGAGGUGCCACACACUUGAACAACCAGAUCUCGUGAGAACUCAUUCACUGUCUGAGGACAGCACCCAGGUGUUAAACCAUUCACGAGGAACUGUCCCCAUGAUCCAGUAACCUCCCACCAGGUCCCACCUCCAACAUUAGGGAUUAGAAUUCAGCAUGAGAUUGGGCAGACACACAGAUCCAAACCAUAUCAGGCAUCCAUCCCAGGUGCAGUCAUUAAAAGUUUUCUAUUCAGGCUUUUGAGGUGAUUGUGGUGGGGCCCCUUCAAGGUGGGGGCUGGACACCAGAGGACCCAACCACAUGAUUGGAGGAUUAGGAUUUUCAGCCCCACCCUCAAACCUCUGGAGAGGGGAGGGGGUUGGAGUUUAAGUUCAAUCAUGUGAUCAAUAAUCCAAUCCAUCAUGACUAUGUAAUGAGGCCUUGAUAAAAACUCUUAGCCAAUGAGGCUUACAGAGGUUCUGGGUUGUGCUGUGUUGCGGGAAGUCAGGGACCCCAAACCGAGGGACCGGCUGGAGCCGCGGCAGAGGGACAUAAAUUGUGAAGAUUUCAUGGACGUUUAUCACUUCCUAGUAAUACUCUUAUAAUUUCUUAUGCCUGUCUAAUCUCAAUCCUGUUAUCUUCGUAAGCUGAGGAUGUAUGUCACCUCAGGUCCACUGUGAUGAUUGCAUUAACUGUACAAAUCGAUUGUAAAACGUGCAUUUGACGAGGCCAGGAGAUCAAGACCAUCCUGGCUAACACAGUGAAAACCCGUCUCUACUAAAAAUACAAAAAAUCAGCCGGGUGUGGUGGCAGGCACCUGUAGUCCCAGCUACUCGGGAGGCUGAGGAAGGAGAAUGGCAUGAACCUGGGAGAUGGAGCUUGCAGUGAGCUGAGAUGGCGCCACUGCACUCCAGCCUGGGCGACAGAGUGAGACUCCAUCUCAAAAAACAAACAAACCAAAAAAAAAAAAAAACGUGUGUUUGAACAAUAAUGAAAUCAGUGCACCUUGAAAAUGAACAGAACAGCGAUUUUAGGGAACAAGGGAAGACAACCAUAAGGUCUGACUGCCUGUGGGUUCGGGCAAAAAGAGCCAUAUUUUUCUUCUUGCAGAGAGCCUAUAAACGGACGUGCAAGUAGGAGAGAUAUCGCUAAAUUCUUUUCCUAACAAGGAAUAUUAAGACCCUAGGAAAAUAAUUGCAUUCCUUGGGGGAGGUCUAUAAAUGCUUGCUCUGGGAGUGUCUGUCUUACGCAGUUGAGAUAAAGACUGAAAUACGCCCUGGUCUCCUGCAGUACCCUCAGGAUUGUUAGGGUGGGGGAAAAAACCACUCCCUGGUAAAUCUGAGGUCAGACUGGUUCUCUGCUCUUGAACCCUGUUUUCUGUUGUUUAAGAUGUUUAUCAAGACAAUACAUGCACAGCUGAACAUAGACCCUUACCAGGAGUUUUUGAUUUUGCCCUUUGCCUUGUGAUCUUUAUUGGCCUCAGAAGCACGUAAUCUUUGUUCUCCCUUUUGCCCUUUGAAGCAUGUGAUCUUUGUGACCUACUCCCUGUUCGUACACCCCCUCCCCUUUUGAAGUCCUUAAUAAAAACCUGCUGGUUGUGCGGCUCAGGUGGGCAUCACGGUCCUACCACUAUGUGAUGUCACCCCUGGCAGCCCAGCUCUAAACUUCCUCUUUGUACUCUAUUUCUCAGACUGGCCGACACUUAGGGAAAAUAGAAAGAACCUACGUUGAAAUAUUGGGGAUGGGUUCCCCCGAUAGUGCUGGGAGGGCAGCACGCCUGCAGUGGACACAGAAGCUCUGAGCCCCAUACCUGUCCUGCUCACCUCUUCCAUUUGGCUGUUCCUUUGUUGUACCCUGUAUAAUAAACUGGUAAUCCCAA